rnacentral:lncRNA from 1 species
UGUUGCAGAACCGGUGACAUGCUUAUUGCAACUUAAAAGCUCUGAAGAACAUAUAGAAACGGAAUCAACCUUGGCAUUUGUUUGAGGCCUGGAACCGGUGAUUCCCAUGACUUUGCGGGCCCAUUGUGGAAACGCUUGCGUACGAUUUACUAUUGGAGUCUGCCAUGCGUGCACAAUCGUUCCAUGCGCGUAAUUUAUGCGUUGUUGAACCUUGGAAAUGGUUGUUGACUGAGUUUUCUGAUUAUUAUGGAGUUUCAGAAUCGUACACUAAACUCAG